GAUAACUCAGAUGGUUGGAGUGUGGUGCUGAUAAUGCCAUGGUUGCAGGUUCAAUCCCUGCUACG